AGUGAACGCUGGCGGUAGGCCUAACACAUGCAAGUCGAACGGCAGCACAGUAAGAGCUUGCUCUUACGGGUGGCGAGUGGCGGACGGGUGAGGAAUACAUCGGAAUCUACUUUUUUGUGGGGGAUAACGUAGGGAAACUUACGCUAAUACCGCAUACGACCUACGGGUGAAAGCAGGGGAUCUUCGGACCUUGCGCGAUUGAAUGAGCCGAUGUCGGAUUAGCUAGUUGGCGGGGUAAAGGCCCACCAAGGCGACGAUCCGUAGCUGGUCUGAGAGGAUGAUCAGCCACACUGGAACUGAGACACGGUCCAGACUCCUACGGGAGGCAGCAGUGGGGAAUAUUGGACAAUGGGCGCAAGCCUGGUCCAGCCAUACCGCGUGGGUGAAGAAGGCCUUCGGGUUGUAAAGCCCUUUUGUUGGGAAAGAAAAGCAGCAGGUUAAUACCCCGCUGUUCUGACGGUACCCAAAGAAUAAGCACCGGCUAACUUCGUG
rnacentral:rRNA from 1 species